GUAGCUGCUAAGAAGGUGCCUGCAGGGCCCUGAGUCAGCAGGGGAGGAAAAGCUGAAGAAGCAUGAGAAAGCUCUGGCAGGGAAGCCUGGGAGAUGCCCUGUGGAAGAAACUGUGAAACCACCUAAUCAACAUCCUAAGAAACUGUGAAAGCAGGGGAGAGACUAAAAGCCAAUUGGGAUGAAGACUGUGUGAUAACAAACUGCUCUCCGGAGGAUCAGAUACACACCAGAAAUGCAACUGAACAACAGGUGGAGCAAAAGCAUUACGAUUGGUUCACUCAGCAAACUAAAGGCAUAAUUUUUACACUCUUUUGUGUAUGUUGGAAGAGGAAGCUUUAUGUUCCAGUCCCCCCCCUGCCCAGGAACUGUCUGUGUUCUGGUAGGUAACAAUGCUCUGUAAUGUCACAAGUCACAUGAAGGUCACUUAGAUUCAGAGGUUCAAUACAUGGAUUUGUAAGAAAGACCUAAAUAAUUACCACACAACACAGCCUCUUUCCAAACAUACCGCCAACUGUGCAAGUCAAGACCAGAUAAUUACAGGAGCAAUAUCUUUGUACCAUUUCCUGGAAGGCUGGAUGGCUUGAAAUUAAGUUUAUCCAGGGUCGACAGUCAAGGCAGGGUCCCAUACCUGCUUUUAUCUGAGUGUGAGUGGGUGGAAUUAAAUAAAACUGCAGGUGUUGUGGGGCAGCCUUGGAGUGUGAG